rnacentral:rRNA from 1 species
UGGGGAAUAUUGGACAAUGGGGGGAACCCUGAUCCAGCGAUGCCGCGUGGGUGAAGAAGGCCUUCGGGUUGUAAAGCCCUUUAGGUUAGGAAGAAAGGUAGAAGGUUAAGAGCUAUUUACUGUGACGGUACUAACAGAAUAAGCACCGGCAAACUCUGUGCCAGCAGCCGCGGUAAUACAGAGGGUGCGAGCGUUAAUCGGAAUUACUGGGCGUAAAGGGCGCGUAGGCGGUGAUACAUGUGUGAUGUGAAAGCCCCGGGCUUAACCUGGGAAGUGCAUCGCAAACUGUGUUACUGGAGUAUAUGAGAGGGUGGCGGAAUUUCCGGUGUAGCGGUGAAAUGCGUAGAGAUCGGAAGGAACGUCGAUGGCGAAGGCAGCCACCUGGCAUAAUACUGACGCUGAGGCGCGAGAGCGUGGGGAGCGAACAGG